rnacentral:lncRNA from 1 species
AGGAAAGGUCGUCAAUCCUCUGUUUGAGAAGCGACCAAAGCAGUUUGGAAUUGGUGGUGCCCUUCCACCCAAGAAGGAUUUGACUAGAUUUGUCAAGUGGCCACAUGUUGUUCGUAUUCAGAGGCAAAGAAGGAUUCUGAAACAGCGUUUGAAGGUUCCUCCUGCCGUUAACCAGUUCACAAAAACACUUGACAAGAACCUUGGGAAGUUUUUCUUCCCUGUUCUAGAAAAGUUAGCAAACUCUGUACCCGAGGAUCCUGGAUGUCCAGGAUCAAAUUUAGCAUGCAUCGUUCUUAUAAACACGUUACCAAAACUGCAGAUGAUUUGUCUCCUGUGAAUUUGUGGUUUUAUUUUCUUCAUUUUGUAUUACAGCCACGCAACUUUUUAAGUUGUUGCUAAAAUAUAGACCUGAGGACAAGGUUGCUAAGAAGGAAAGGCUUCUUAAAAGAGCACAAGCUGCUGAAGAGGGGAGGACUGUGGAAUCAAAGAAGCCUAUUGUCGUUAAAUAUGGUCUUAACCAUGUAACUUAACUCAUUGAGCAGGUACGAAUGUUGGUCCUGCCUAACGAGUUGAACCUCUAGUACUUGAGGGUUGAGGCUUCACCUGGGCCGGGUUUGCAAUUAAAUCAAAUGAGGUGUCCCAGUUCGAGUCAACUCAUAAUUUUAUCCUUCUAUUUUAUUUUUUUUUGGAACACCAUCCUUUCAACUUUUUUUAUAUUGGGGAUUUCAUGUUGUCAUCUGACUUGGAUUGUGACAACAUGCACGGCAGAUUUGAUGCAUUAAUUUCUAAGGUUAUCUUAUAUUUUUCCUAAGACUCUACUUGUUGCAUGUAGAACAAGGCCUAGUUGGUGGUUAUCGCACAUGAUGUGGAUCCAAUUGAGCUUGUUGUCUGGUUGCCAGCAUUGUGCCGGAAAAUGGAAGUUCCUUGUGCAAUUGUGAAGGGCAAGUUUUUUCUAGGGGUGUUUAUUUUCAGUUUGGUUUGGUUUUUAUUAAAAAAAGUAACCAAACCGAAUUUUUUUUAAAAAAAACCAAACCGAAACCGGUUCAAACCGACCGGUUUCGGUUCGGUUCUGUUUUUUAGAACAAAAACCGGUUCAAACCGGUUUGGCUCGGUUUUUUCGGUUUGGCUAGGUUUUUUUCCGGUUUUUUUCUGUUCGGGUUCGUUCGGUUUUUUCGGUUCCAGGCUUAAAAACCGAACCGGUCGGUUUUUUAAAAUUUUAAUCGGUUUAAUCGGUUUUUUUCAAGGUUCGGUUUUUUCAAUUUUUUUUUCCGGUUUUCUCAGUUUAAUCAGUUUUUUGGUUUUUUUAAAUACCCCUAAUUUUUUCUAAUCUCUUCCAAUGUGUUAAAAGAUUGUGAAGGGCAACUCCAAACGGAUUCAUCAUUGGCUUCAAAAUUUAUAGUUGUAUCUCCGAGAUAGUUGUAACAAUUUACUUCACAAAUUUAACUAAUUUUUCGAUAAAUAAUUCAGUUACUACUCAAUUAAAUUUAAUCAAUUUAAAAUCUUAAUGAUUCAUGGUAGAAGUUGAGCACAGAGAAAUUUUGUAAAUUAAAUAAAAAUAGUUUUUUUAUUGUAAAAUUAUCUAUAUUUCCACUAUUCUAGAUAUAAUUCUGUAAGAGAUUCUUGACUUCCGAUUUUUCCUUUUUCAAUAAAUUUUUUUAAUAAUAUUUAGUUUCUGAAAAAAAUAAUUUUAUUCGUAUAAAAUGAACUAUAUAUAAACAAUAUUUUUCCGCUACACAUAAUAAAUAAAUUAAGAAGAGUUUGGGCAUAAUAAAUGAAACAAGUAGAAACUAGGACUAGACUUUGACGAGUAAACAACAAAGAUGACCAAAUUGAAAACAAAAAUAUUUUAGGGUUUGGGAGGCCUGUGGGCUUACCACCCUCUUCAGUCCACAUAACAGAAUGAAUUAUAAAAUAAAACCCUAAUUAUAAAAUCAGCCGCUUCAGCUGCGCUUCUAAGCUGUCACACUUCCUUCACAAACACAUCUAUCAGCGUUUCUUUCGAUCUCCUCUUCCACAUGGUGCGACAUUCACUUAAGUUCAUGCAUCCCCAUUUCAUAUUUUCAUCCAUGUAAUGUUUCUUGUGCUGUCUGGUUUCAUUUGUUUGGUAUGAAGUUGCUUUGUUUAUGAUGGGUUUGUUGAUUUCUGAGUGAAUGGAGACUCUAUCAGUUAGCCUCUCCAUUUGGGAUUGUUAUUUUAAGUGACCCCAGAUAGGUUUGCUGAAGUGAUGGAACUUUAGUGCUUUUGUUUGUCUAUUGAAUUGAAGUUUCAAUAUGACUGUAGAUGUUGGAUUCUUUAUGGUGAAUAUGAUAUGGCUUAGAAAUUGGGGAAUGAUCAGUUUUUUUAUGACAAUCCAGCAAUUGAUAGUUUCCCCGGAAAAGCAAUGAGUAUAUGCUUAAAGCUAUAUUAAAAGUGGGGCAGUAGAAGUUUCAAGAUGGACUGAGAAAAUGCAGUGUACUGGUUAGAAGUUUAGCUGGAAGCACUCGCUCACUAUUUUCGUUAUUUAGCUGCAUUUGUAUAUGUUUGUUUGAAUUAGUACUGUUAUUGUCACUUGUAUUUUGAAAUGUUGUGUCUAUUAAAUUUUCAUUGGAAAGUUUAUUUUUCAAUUUUUGAAUCAUUAGCUUGUUUGUGUAAUUUAUGACAGGCUCCCAAAAGAGGCGUGAAGGCCCCACUAGCAGCAAAGAAAAAACCUGUAUGCCUUUCUCUCUCUUUCUCUCUCUAUUGUAUGCACACAAACGCACAAAUAAGCAUUUGUUAGUGAAACAUUCAUUUCUUGAAAAUGCAAAUGGUUAUAGAUUAUGCCCAGUUCGUAGAACUUGCAUGUGAUGGAUUGUAAUUCUCUCCAAUGCACCAUGUCAAAAUUGGGCUUUGUGUGCUCUCCUCUUGCAACUAAAGGUGUUGUGCAUUUAUGUUGAUUAAUUACAGGAAAAGGUCGUAAAUCCUCUGUUUGAGAAGCGACCAAAGCAGUUUGGAAUUGGUGGUGCCCUUCCACCCAAGAAGGAUUUGACUAGAUUUGUCAAGUGGCCACAUGUUGUUCGUAUUCAGAGGCAAAGAAGGAUUCUGAAACAGCGUUUGAAGGUUCCUCCUGCUGUUAACCAGUUCACAAAAACACUUGACAAGAACCUUGGUAAGUUUCUCAUCCCUGUUCUAGAAAAACUGCAGAUGAUUUGUCUCAUGUUAAUUUGUGGUUUUAUUUUCUUCAUUUUGUAUUACAGCCACACAGCUUUUUAAGUUGUUGCUAAAAUAUAGACCUGAGGACAAGGCUGCUAAGAAGGAAAGGCUUCUUAAAAGAGCACAAGCUGCAGAAGAGGGGAAGACUGUGGAAUCAAAGAAGCCUAUUGUCGUUAAAUAUGGUCUUAACCAUGUAACUUACCUCAUUGAGCAGGUACGAAUGUUGGUUUCUAUGGCAUACUAUGUUAAAUAAUUAGGUAGCAAUAUUAGUUUGGAUGAUCUGGUACUUUGUUUAGGUAGCUUGAUUGAUCUAUAUAGGAAGAGUUCACUCAUAAAUGAGCUAUAACCAUAAUUAUCAAAACUGGCCCUGCCUAGCGAGUUGAUCCACUAGUACUCGAGGGUAGAGGCUUCACCUAGGCCAGGUUUGCAAUUAAACCAAAUGAGGAGUCCCAGUCCAUUGGUCGAGUCAACUCAUAAUUUGUAAGAAAGAUUUCAAAACCAUGUCUUUUUAGUGACCUUCCCCUUCAGCGGAUCAGACUUCAGGCCAGAUCUGAGUUAUGACUGUGUAGGAGAAGAUGACUUUCAAUUUGGUUGUUUUCACAUUUUCUUCUCCCACUCGGAUUCGUCUCAUUUCUUCUAGUUACUUGGCUGGAAGCUGCACAUUGUUUUUUAUCCUUCUAUUUUUUUUUUUUUUUUUUUCAACUCUUCUUUUUUAUAGAUUUCAUGUUGUCAUCUGACUUUGAUGUUGACAACAUGAAUGACAGAUUUGAUGCAUUAUGUCUAAGGUUAUCUUAUAUUUUUCCUAAUACUAUACUUGAUGCGUGUAGAACAAGGCCCAGUUGGUCGUUAUAGCUCAUGAUGUGGAUCCAAUUGAGCUUGUUGUCUGGUUGCCAGCUUUGUGCCGGAAAAUGGAGGUUCCUUAUGCAAUCGUGAAGGGCAAAUCACGUCUUGGAGCGGUAGUUUUUCCUAAUCUUUUCCUGUGCAGUAAAAGAUCCAUUGCUUUUUUUGGAAAACGAACCCUAUGGUAUCUACAUAUUUAUUUGAAUCUACUAUGUUUUUAAAAUAGAUUGUCCACAAGAAAACAGCAUCAGUUUUGUGCCUUACAUCAGUGAAGAAUGAGGAUAAAUUGGAGUUUAGCAAGGUUUUGGAGGCAGUCAAGGUAAUAUUUUUAAUGAGCAAUGACUACAAUACUAUGACAUAUCAUAUUAUGAUCGUGUCCUUGCUCUUUAUCCAGAGGUUAUCUCUGAAAUGUUCUUUUCAAAUCACAACCCUCUCAAAGAAAAAAAGUGUUUUUUAUUGGUAAUCCUCCUAGAAGAUAGCUUUUUGUUAUCAGGCUGAGGCAAUCAAUACUUGAUUUCCUCAUCCCACAGUGAACUGAGUUUGUCUAACAGUAAUGCUUAUGAUGUUUUGUGUGGUUUACUGAAUGAAAUGAUUUUUUCCUUUGAUGCAAUAUAUGUAAUCUUGUUACCUUUUUCUCGAAUUUCUGUUUUCUUUGCAUAUCUCAGUUUUGUUCCCUUCAACUGCAGGCUAACUUCAAUGACAAGUUUGAUGAGCACCGUAAGAAAUGGGGGGGUGGCAUCAUGGGUUCCAAAUCUCUGGCUAAGACCAAAGCUAAGGAGAGAGUCAUAGCUAAGGAGGCUGCACAAAGAAUGUCAUGAGCUUCUUCUAGCAAGCUAUUGAACAGAAGUUAUAGUCGAGAGGAACUUCCAUAGAUGUUCUUAAGCUCAUGCUUUUCCCCUUGGAUUGCACUUUAUGUUGUUACAGACAAGUUUUGUAUUGAUUCGGUAGUAGAAGUAUUUUAUCAUGAGCAAUAUUUAGAUAUUCAAUGGAAAGAAUGAAAACCAACAACCUCAGUUUCUCGUAAACUGAUUGAAUUUUUAUUGGUAUUUUAGCAUUUUGGUUGUGCAGUUCCGGAAAAUUUAUGUGGUCGUGGUUCAGGAAGCGCAAGGGCAGUUAUUGUCACAGAAAAAUGAUCGAGCUAAUACUUUUUCUGUAACCUUGCCCUUCGAAAACAAUGUUUUUGGUUCUGGGACGUCCUCUUUUUCGCUGAGAAUGCUCUCUUCGAAGAAUUUCUUUUUUUCAUAACCUACUAUUCGAUUUUAUGUCAUUUAUCUAAUAGUCAAUUAUAUAAUCAUUAGCAAGAUAUUAGUAGUAAUGCAUAAUUUACUGUGAAGAUAAUUGUAAUUUACUCGUAUCAGAUUCAGAUAUACAGCAGGUUUAAUUUGAGACCGCCACUCUUUUUCAAUGUAUUUUUUGUAGCUUUGUUCAACCCUCGGUUUCUUGAACUUCAUCCAGGCCAACGCUUAAAAGAUCAAAAAUCUACUUUAGCGGAAGAAAAAAAAUUCACCAAAGAUGAAUUUUCUUUUGCAGAGGUUUUAGCAAUAGUAGGAGGCAGGACAAGAAAUACAUUAAUUAUUUUACAUGCAAUGAAUCUCUAUAGACAUCAAGACAUCUUUUUUUCAUAGUAGCCCUGUUGCUAAAGCUAACUGGCUUAAGCAGCAAGGGUUUUAGAUAGAUGUUGAUAGAUGUUUUCAACUCGUUUUUCUAUGCCCAACUGCUUAAAAGACGUUUAUAUCUCAAUUUCUUAGAUACUCAUUGAUAGAGAAGAAUGUUUUAUAGCAUUUCCUGCAGUGCUAAAACACGUGGUUAAAUCCGCAGAUUCAGAUAAUAAAAGAAUGAGACACCAAGAUCAUCCAUAUUUAGAGUGUUUUUCUUUAAGAGGAAAAGCAUGAAAGCGCAGCGCACCUCACAAACCUCACAAACAAACAUAUUCGCUUGGCUUGGCAAUCUUCUAGGUUAUAUUUGCUACAUUUUGUUUCAUAUGGAUGUUAUUUUAAGUAUAAUUGUUUGUGUUAAGCUUGGUUCGGCAGGCUUCCAAGGUUAUAUUUUGUUUUAUACUUAGUUUCUUAUUUAUUUUCUGCCGACCAGCUUUUUAUGGAUUAUCUUAUAUGUGCAUUUGUCUGCUUUGUUGACACGGCAAAACAUCAGGAAUUGCAUCAACUCGUGCUAACGACAAUGUCGUUAAAUAAACACACUUUGUAAGCUCCGUUACAAUGUACGUACCGAUUGUAUGUUUAAACAUAUGUAAAAGAAAUUGUUGUUAACUUGAUACCUUGGACAUAACAAUGGAGGGCCAAGUACAGAUCCCAUCAGGAAAUGUUGAUACUAGCUUCUGCUUGGAUAUGGCAUUCCAUAUUUUUCUGAAAGAAGCUGACGGCGCAUCAAACUUUGUGUUCUCGCCUUUUUCGUUCCAUUGUAUGCUGAGCCUUAUUGCUGUAGGCUCAAGUGGGUCUACCCUGGAGCAGCUGCUUUCAUUUCUAAAACUGAAAAGCCUCGAUGAGCUGAAAUCUUUGGCUUCGCAGGCUAUCACUUCUGUAUUAUUGCCAUCAAACUGGAGCGAGGACCAAACCGGAAGUCCAAUCGUGUCAUUUGUCAAUGGUGCUUGGGUGGAUCUAAGUUAUCGUUUGAAGCCUUCCUUUCAGGAGGUGGUGAAAGGCGUUUACUGUGCUACAACCAAAGAGGUUGACUUUGUAAAUGAGGUAAUGUUGCAAUCACUUUCAUGCUUCUUUAUGCUAUUCUAGUAUUGAUUGUGGUAUGUCUUUGAUUUCGUCAAACCAUUGAAGAUCAUAAAGAAUAGCACUUUGAUAGAAUUGAAACUUCAGUAUCCACAUUUUGAUAGUAUAUCCUUGUGAGACAUGGCAAUUUUGGAUUUCUGGCAACUUAGAUGCCAGCUGAUUGAAAUUUGUAUCCAUCCGACUGACAAGUUUAAUUCAGGAGUUUUGUCAAAUCUGGAGGUGAUUUUACAAAGUUCUAUAUUUUGGCCAUGGAUAGCAACAUUUUUCUUCCCGCUGAUACUGGCAAUUGACACUAGAUCAUUUUCUUUGAAGGCUAAUCAAGUGUUGAAUGAUAUUAAUUCGUGGGUGGAGACUGAAACCAGAGGAAUCAUCAAAAACCUUCUCCCUUCGAAGUGUUUGGGCGAUGAUACAGCUUUAGUCCUUGCAAAUGCACUCUACUUCAAAGGAACAUGGGAUCGGAAAUUCGAUGCAUCAAAAACUAAAUAUAAUGACUUCCAUCUUCUUGGUGGACAGAUUGUUCAAGUUCCUUUCAUGACCAGCAAGAGAUACCAGAGACAUCUUUAUGGAUGCUUUGAUGGCUAUAAGAUUCUCAAAAUUCCCUACCAAAAUGGUCAAGACACCAGGCAAUUCUCCAUGUACUUCUUUCUUCCAGAAGCAACAGAUGCCUUGCACAGUCUGAUUCAAGUAUUCAAAUCCAGCCCUGAACUCUAUACUAUGCAAUUCAAGUUACGAGAAGAGGAUCUUCCUGAGUUUUGGAUUCCAAGAUUUAAGUUCUCAUUCAAGUUUGAAGCCUCAAAAACUAUGAAGGAAUUGGGACUGGAACUACCUUUCAAGGCUGUUGGAGAACUGUCGGAGAUGGUUGAUUCUGCUAAGUCCCUGUUCUUGUCAAAUGUAUUUCAUGCGUCCUGUAUUGAGGUUAAUGAAGAAGGCACGGAAGCAGCAGCUAGUACUGCUCCAAGAUUGAUUAGACAAAGUCGCCGGUUGAAUCCUCCAAGUUUUGUAGCUGACCAUCCUUUCUUAUUCUUGAUCAGGGAGGAGAAAUCGGGAAUGACACUCUUCAUCGGAGCUGUGAUCAACCCUCUCUUGGUGUCCUGAAAUGUAGCCAGGACAACGCUUCAGAAAAGAAGCUUCACCACUCUAAUUGGUAAAAAUAGUAUAUGGAUCUUGCUUUUCUAUCAAUUGCAGUAAACCGGUAUGGCGCAAUCUGUGAACUCAUUGCAAUUUCUGAAUGCUGCCAGGUGCAUUGCCUUGUUGUGGAUGGAAAUAUUACUUUGUUGAACCGCAAUUUCGUUGUAGAUAAUUCGGUAGUCUAUGAGAACAGCUUGUCUGAUAAACAGGCCACUUGAGCUCUCCAUUUUUUGUUUUAAAUUAUCAGAGGUUUUGGAAAUGUGAGUCUUGAGGUUCUACAUAUGAGAAAAUGUUCUUUACAUCUCAUAAACGAAACAACAACAACAACCCGACCAAUACUAUUUUAAGGUAUAUGAAAACACUUUCUAGAUUGGUGACAUCAAAACCAUGCCAUAACAUUCUCUGAUAUCUUGCCUUAGGCACUUCAACUGCAGAGAAUCGAUAAAUCUUAUCGGUACAACUAUGGUACGUCUGAUGCCCAUCCAGGAAUGGAUUCCAAAGGAUGGUAUGUCUUUUACGGAUCGCCAUGAUUGAAACUUGAUAUGCAAGGGUCCUGAUACUUCUCUGCACUUCCCACUUCCCAGAGGAUCUGCAAUGUCUGCUGAAGCUCUUCUGCUACUAAGCCGAUACUUCUGUAAUCAAUCAUAAGAACAUAUUCCAAAAAGAUUAGGAAAAAAGAACGUGCACUAUAAGACAAUAAAGAUCCUGCAAAAGCUUCGUGACAUGUUAGGUGCCAAAACGUGGAGAAAUCUGUGUGCAAUGCAAAGUUGCAAAUGGUUUCCUGAGGGAUAUAUCAAGAUUAAAGGCUCAUAUGUCGGUCCCAAUUCUCUACUGAAAGUAGUCUUUUAAUGAUAUGAAGGAAAUUUGAAUUGGAGAGGGCAGAGUGAGUGGAAACAAGGAGCAAUUCCACAGAAGUCUGACGAUUUUGAGCUCUUGAAAAUUGAAAUUCUCACAAGAACACCAGAAUAUUCAAAGUGGAAAUUGUUGAAAGUUAACCUCUAUUACCUGCAAACGGCUCUUUACUUUCGCCAGCCCUUCAACCUUCAUUACGUCUCUUAUAUGCUUUGGUGUAGCCACUUCAGAAAGGAAACAGAACAAAAUUACCCCAUUGUCAUCCUUCCUAAUUGAAAGGAGACCUUACUCAAAACUACAUGAUGAAACAAGAACAACAACUACCUGCUGUUCAUGAACAGUUCAAUGGAAGUGCGAAAUGUGAGAGCAUCUAUAGUAUUGAACAAUGAAUUCGCAUAUUCUUUUAUUUUAUUUAUUUUUUUUGUUAAUGUUAAUAUAUGAAAUUUAAGGAUUGAAUUUGAAUAACCCACCAAACUUAUUAUCCAUGAUACUAGAAUAACUUUAUAGAAGAAAAAUCAAAAUAAAUUAUGAAGCUAAAUCUCUGAUUAAAUCAAUAUUGAAUAAUAAAAUUAAAAAUAAUAAUUAAUUAAAUAAACCCUAAAUUAAUCCAAGUUAAUUUAUUUAACAAGCGACCCGAGAAUAACAUUAUAAAAAACAUAUUUAUAAAGUUCAAUUUUUAGCAAACCUAAUAUAUAUAUAUAAAAACAAGAAACAAUAAAGUGAAUCUAAAAGAUUAAGAUUUGAAAAAAAUCAAUUACUUAAUAAACUAAAAAGAAUCAAAGAAAAUGAGGUAUUACACUAGGAAAAAAGGUAAAGGAAACAGUAAACUUACAAAAGUAAAUUGCGUUAAAAUAAAGUACAAGAUUAUAUAUAAAUAAAAAACAAAUUGCAAAGCACAACAAAAAAAAAUACUAAAUAAAAAUAUAAAUUUUACUAUUACAAUAUUUUUUCUAAACAAUAAAAUAAAAUUUAGAAAUAAAAAUUCUUAUUGCUGAUUCCAAAUUUGCUAUCAUAUCAUAUCAUGUAGUUGCCAAAAUAUUUCUCAAAUUGUAAAUUAUUUUUUUUUAUUAUUAUUAAUAUUAAUAUCUAAGCCAGCUUGUAUAUAUCUUAACUAAUCCUAUAAAUUUUAAAAUUAAUAAUGAUGUAAAUCUUUAAUUAUCAUAUUAGUAAUCAAAAAUCAAAUUACAGAAAUAACAAACUCUUUCAUACGUAAUUAUCUAUUAAAUAUCUACUAAAUGAUUUGUAGAACUCUUGUCUUAACUUUACGGGGUUUGGCUUUCACCAACGUCAAAAGAUUGAAUGCCUCAGCAUUCGCAUCUCUUUGGGCAACGGCUGCAAACAUCCAUCUUAGUUCUUAUUGAUUAAAUUCUUGCAAUUUAGCCCAAUUACUCACAAUUAUUUUGAGGAUUUUAUUUUGGGUGUAAACAAUGCAUUGAAAGGAAAGUGUAGAGGUGUUUGUCGUCAUCUAGCUUCCACCAUUCUUUCAAACAAAAUUAUAGGUAACUUUAAGGUAAAUAUAUAGCUUUAUAUUCUUUGCUCUAGAUUAAUUGUUUUAUCAGCAUUUAUCUAUAGCUCAAUUAAAUUUAAUCAGUUUAAAAAUUAAUUGAUUCAAAUUAAAAGUUGAGCAUUUAGAAAUCUAUUUCAGAGUUUUUAAAGAUUAAGUAAAAAUAUGUUUUUUAUUAUAAAUUAUCUAUAUUUGUCACUGUUUUAGAUAUAAAUUUGAAAGAAUUCUUACUCUUGAUUUUUUUAAAAAGAUAAAUAUUUUUUGUAUAUAGAAUAUAAUUAGGAACUUAUGAAACUGGUAUAAAAAUGAUUUGAUAUAAACAAUAUUUUUUCAUUGCAUAAAAUCAAUAAAGAAAAACAAAAGAUAAAAGUAUAGUUUUCAGACCCAACCCGGUUCAAGGCCCGGGUUCCGAGUUUUAACCGGGUCACCGGGUCGCCUAGGUUAAUAAAAUCAAAACGACGCUAUUUUAGUUAAAAAAAAAACAAAAAUCAAUAAAUUACAACUAAAUUUUUAACCGAGUCAGUCAACCCGCCGGGUCAUACCAGAUUUUUUUUUUUUAACCCUAUCUCGUUUUAGUCCUGGGUUGGUCCAUCAGGCCGGAUUUUAAAACUAUAAAUAAAAAUUUGGGGCUACAAGAUAAAAACAAGUAGAAAAUAGGACUAAACUUUGGUAAGCAAACAACAAAGAUGACCCGAUUAGAAAAAGAAAUUAGGGCUUGGGAGGUCUAUGGGCUUACCUUCUUCAGUCCCACAUAACAUGGAGAAAAUAAAAACCCUAAUUAACAAACCAGCCGCUUCCGCUACGCUCCAGAGAGCUCUCACCCUUCCUUCACAGACACAUCUGCCAGUGUUCUUUCGAUCUCCUCUUCGACAUGGUAUGAUAUUCACUUCACUUCUUGCAUCCCCAUUUCAUAUUCUCGUCCAUAUAAUGAGUUUUUUUUUCUGUUUGGUUUCUUUUGUUUGGGAUAUAGUUUGCUAUUUUCAUGAUGGCUCUGUUGGUUUCUUAGUGAAUGGAGGACUCUAUCUGUUUUCUUCUUCAUUCGGGAUUUUUAUUUUAAGUUCCCCAUAUAGCUUAAAAACUUGUUGGAGUGAAGGAACUUUGGUGCUUUUGUUUUUUUUAUGUUGAAUUGAAGUUUUAACAUGACUUUAUAUGUAGGGCUCUUUAUAGUGGCAAUGAUUUGGUGAACGAUGACCAAUUUAUUGAUGAUAACUUGCAAUUGAUAGUUGCCCCUGAAAAGCAAUGAGUAUAUGCUUGAAGUUAUAUUAAAAGUUGAGCAGUAGAAGUUUCAAAGUGGACUGUGAGAAAAUGCAUUGUACUGGUUAUAAGUUAAGCUAAAAGUCCUAGCUCACUAACUUUGUUAUUUAGAUGGAUUUUCAAUAAAUUCAUUAUGUGGUUUUUGAGAAGUUGGAAUUAUGUAUGUGUAGAAUAGUUAUAUUUACAGACACUUGAUAUAUGUUAGGUUCUGCUGCUUUUUUCUGUGUUGUUUGAAUUAUUACUUUUAAUGCCCCGUAUAUAUUGAAAUGGUGUGUCUAUGAAAUUUUCAUUGAAAAGUUUGUAUUCUUGGAGUUUCUUUUCCCAGUUUUGAUUCACUAGCUUGUUUUAAUGUUGACGACAGGCUCCCAAAAGAGGUGUGAAGGCCCCGCUAGCAGCAAAGAAAAAACCUGUAUGUCUCUCUCUCUCUCUCUCUCUCUCUCUCUCUGGUAUGCACACACAAGCUUGUGUUAGUGAAACAAUAAAUUCUUGGGAAUUAAGGAUUCAAAUGUGUAUAGAUUAUUCCUACUUCUUUGAUCUUGCAUGUCUGCAUGUCAUGGAUCAUAAUUCCCCCCCUGUCAAUUUUGGCCUUUAUGUGCUUUACUUUUUCCACUAAAGUUUUGUGCAUUUAUGUUGAUUAAUUACAGGAAAAGGUUGUGAAUCCUUUGUUUGAGAAGCGACCAAAGCAGUUUGGAAUUGGUGGUGCCCUUCCACCCAAGAAGGAUUUGACUAGAUUUGUAAAGUGGCCACAUGUUGUUCGUAUUCAGAGGCAAAGAAGGAUUCUGAAACAGCGUUUGAAGGUCCCUCCUGCUGUUAACCAGUUCACAAAAACCCUUGACAAGAACCUUGGUAAGUUUUUCAUCCCUAUUUUAGAAAAGCUAGCAAACUUUGUACCCGAGGAUCAUGGAUGUGCAGGCUUAAAUUUAACUUGUGUCUUUCUCAUCAAUGCCUAGCCAUAACUGCAGAUGAUUCGUCCCAUGUUAAUGUGUGGUUAUACUUUUUCAUUUUGUAUUACAGCCACACAACUUUUUAAGUUGUUGCUAAAAUAUAGACCUGAGGACAAGGCUGCUAAGAAGGAAAGGCUUCUUAAAAGAGCACAAGCUGCUGAAGAGGGGAAGACUGUGGAAUCAAAGAAGCCUAUUGUCGUUAAAUAUGGUCUUAACCAUGUUACUUACCUCAUUGAGCAGGUACGGAUGUUGGUUUCCAUGGCGUUGGUGGUCAACUCUGUAAAUUAUUUAGGUUGCAUAAGAUGAUGGAUGAUUUGGUACCUUGUUUAGCUAGUUUGAUCAAUCUAUAUAGGAGUUCUGUUGUAAUUAUGGCUGUGUAGGAGAAGAUGGCUUUCAAUUUGUUUACUUUCACAUUCGUAUCUCCCACUCUUAUUCCUCUCAUUUCUUUCCGUCACUUGGCUGGUUUCUCUGUGUUGUUUUUUGUCCCUCUGUUUUUUCUUUUUUUGGUUGUCAUCAGAUGUGGAUGCUAACAACAUGCAUGCCAGAUU